rnacentral:tRNA from 1 species
GCCGAAAUAGCUCAGUUGGGAGAGCGUUAGACUGAAGAUCUAAAGUCCUGUUCGAUCCCGGGUUUCGGCA